rnacentral:rRNA from 1 species
UACAGAGGGUGCGAGCGUUAAUCGGAAUUACUGGGCGUAAAGCGCGCGUAGGCGGCUUUGCAAGUCGGGUGUGAAAUCCCCAGGCUCAACCUGGGAACUGCAUCUGUGACUGUAUAGCUAGGGUACGGUAGAGGGAAGUGGAAUUUCCGGUGUAGCGGUGAAAUGCGUAGAUAUCGGAAGGAACAUCAGUGGCGAAAGCGACUUCCUGGACCAGUACCGACGUUCAGGCACGAAAGCGUGGGGAGCAAACAGG